rnacentral:rRNA from 1 species
UACGGGGGGGGGCAAGCGUUGUUCGGAGUUACUGGGCGUAAAGGGCUCGUAGGUGGCCAACUAAGUCAGACGUGAAAUCCCUCGGCUUAACCGGGGAACUGCGUCUGAUACUGGAUGGCUUGAGUUUGGGAGAGGGACGCGGAAUUCCAGGUGUAGCGGUGAAAUGCGUAGAUAUCGGGAGGAACGCCAGUGGCGAAGGCGAGUCCCUGGACAACACCUGACACUGAGGCACGAAAGCUUGGGGAGCAAACAGG